rnacentral:lncRNA from 1 species
GUCUGGGUGUGGUGAGACUCCACUUUUGUCCCAUCUUUGAUGGUUAAUCUGUCCUGGUUAUUUGAUGAGGUUCCUAGGGAUGGAAUCUUAAGACAAUCUCAUUUGUUUUGGAAAGAAGCUUCCUUAGUCUGACAAAUUCCAGAGAGACUCCCUCCUGAUGCUGCAGGAAAGAAUUGGAGAGACAGAGAAGGGAGUCCGUAAAGGGGAAGGUCAGAGAAGGAGCUUGGCUCUGAGGCUCAUUUCUGAGGCCUUUCUGUUUUCUUCAAUUCAAUGCAUGCAGAGCACCAAAGCACCAUAUUUUGAGUAUCAUUUUCAGUGCCCCAGCACCGCAAUAUGCAUCCUUUUUAAUGGCAGCUCAGUGUGGCUCUUCUACAGUAAAUGUAACCUGGAGCAUCCCAGAAAUAAAUGCCUGCUCAGAAACCACUCGGUGUGAUGCCACUUUUCUAAUUCAACCUCUCCAACAAAAUAAUGUAAAAUAAUGUAAUUUACAUCCUCAUGUCUUCUCAAUCUGAAUUAACUAUUUAUGAGUUCCUGAAGGUAAUAUAUUUAUUAAAUGUAUGCAAGAUUGUUGAGACCCUGAUAUGUGCCAAGUGCUUUGCUGGGUGCUGAGAAUGCAAAAGAAUAUAUAUAUGUAUAUAUAUACACACACACACAUACACACAUAUAUAUAUACAUACAUAUAUAUAUGAGACUUAUAGGUUAGGCAUAAUAAACAUAUAUGUAUCAUAAAAAGAAAGUGUUUAGACAUAUGUUUUGCUGUAACAUUAGUUAUAAAGGAAAAAGUAAAAAAAACAUUACUCAGAUAAACAGAAGACACUUCAUAGAAGAAGGGAUGAUAUUCAUAGCUUAGCCUUGAGGGAUAGCUGUGCACAGGAAGGGACGCCAUUUCAAGCAGAGGGAACUGCUUCACUAAAACCCAUACCCACGGAUAGUCACCCAUCCAAGCAUGUUGAUGGGAUGAAUGGGGAUGCAUGUAAUUCAGUAUUAUACAACCACAAGCUGGGAUGAGAGAAGUAAGAAAAUGGAGAUGGAAAACUCUGCAGAAGCCACUUUACAAGUAGUUUUAAUCUGUUUUAGGUGAGAAUAUUUUGUCUUUUAAAAAAUUUUCAGUAGCUUUAGGGGUACCAUGGUUUUGGUUACAUGGAUGAAUUGUUAGUGGUGAAGUCUGAAAUUUUAGUGUGCCCCCAUCACCCAAGUAGUGUAUAUUGUACCCAAUGUGUAGUUUUUAUCCCUCACCCUCCUCCCACCUGCCCCACAUUUUAGUCUCUAGUGUUCACUGUUCACUAUACCACUCUGUAAUGCAUUUGUGUACCCAUAGCUUAGCUCCUACUUGUAAAUCAGAACAUACAGUCUUUGGUUUUCCAUCCCUGAAUUACUUCACUUAGAAUAAUGGCCUCUAGUUCCAUCCACAUUGCUGCAAAAGAUGUUGUUUUGUUCUUUGUCACGGCUGAGUAGUAUUCCAUGUUGUGCAUAUACCACAUUCCCUUUACCAACUCAUCAGUUGAUGGGCAGUUAGGUUGGUUCCAUGGUUUUGCAAUUGUAAACUGUGCUACAAUAAACAGAUGUGUUUAGGUGUCUUUUUGAUAUAAUGACUUAUUCUCCUUUGGGUAGAUACCUAGUAGUGGGAUUGCUAAAUAUUUUUCUAAUGUUUAAUGUUUCAUUCUGGAAAAUGAAAUGCAACAAUACGGAGGACAGUUAGGAAGAAGACAAAUUUGAAUAGAAUAGAAUAGACUUAUUGUGGUUUGAACAAGAAGCUCUAAAGGACUAAAUUCUCAGGUAGCAGGAAGUGGAGAGGAGAUAUUGGGCAUAAUAAAUGUGCAAGUCUAAUGAAGAAUACAAUUAUUAACUAAAACCAAACUAUAAAUUGAGAAUUGUAUGCAUUCUAUGACAUAAAUAACAACAACUAGGUAUACGUGCAACGUAUAACAAAUAAUUUACUGUGUGUUUCUGAUAUUAACUUCUGAUUUCUUCUCCUUAGGGGAAGUAUAUGUCAAAGAUAAUAAUUGUUGUAGUCACAUCUUGGUUUCCUUGUUUGUAUUAUUCAGGCCCGGUUCAUCUCCUUCUGAAUGGCUGGCUCAAGUCUAUGAUGGGAGGUGACACUAUUGCAUGUGUCAAAGAGUCUCAGUCUUUACUGAGCAGCUGAUCAGUUCAUUUGUCAAUGACUUUAUAUUAAGAAGAGAGAAAAAAAUUCAACUACAACACAAGACUCUGACUUCAAAAGGCCCAGGGCUGAUUGUUGGGGUUCAGGUAUGUUUUCAGUUAUGUUUACAUACGCUGGCUUCCUGAGUCUCUGAAUUCUUGCAUUACUUUGCACAAUUUGUAUUCCUUAAAAUUCAGUAAAAACUCUGUGAAAGCUUAGUUUAUAUAUUUGUCCCCAA